AGCAACCUGCUCCAGAGGGGCAGCGGCAAGUCUACUGAGCCAGGGAACUUACCUCAGAAGCUUGACUUUGCAGCCUGAAGUGAAGGACGUCCCAAAUCAAAGGACACGUGCUUGGACGGGAAGUCUGUGCCAGAGGAGGCCAGCCUAGGCUCUCCUCCAAAGCUGGAAUUCCAGGACUUCACACAGACCAACAAGAGCUCUGAGGUUUUUACUUUACAAAUCAAAUGCCUGAGGAUGUGUAAGAGGAUGGUCAUGGAUUUGCAACAACCGCUUUCUGCAUUCCUG